rfam:Schistosoma rodhaini strain Burundi genome assembly, scaffold: SROB_contig0005895
AUCCAGCUGACGAGUCCAAAAUAGGACGAAACGCGCGUCCUGGAU